AUAUUUUCUGCUUUCAUUCCUUACUUGAUUGCUUUCUUCUUUUAUUUUUUCUUCCUUGCUUAAUUACCAGCUUCUUGGGUUGUUUGUUUCCUUUCUUGCUUCCUUGACUCUUUUGCUUACUUGCUUGCCUUUGUAUUUUCUUCCUUAAUUCCUUGGUUAAUUGGCUUCCUUGUUUCAUUGCUUACAUGCUUGAUUUCUUACAUACUGUCUUUUUUUACUUAAUUCUUUGGUUAACUUGCUUUUCCUGUUUCUUUACUGUAUUUCUUCCUUAACUACUGAACUUGUUUUAAAAUUCUUACUUUCUAUCCUUAUCGCUUGGCAUAUUCUUAUCUCAGUUUAUUUUCC
rnacentral:sRNA from 1 species